GCUCUCGUAGCUCAGUUGGUAGAGUGCGGCACUAGUAAUAACGUGGUCUACGGUUCAAAUCCGUAUGGGAGCA
rnacentral:tRNA from 1 species